CAAAAGUUGUCAUUGUGAGAGUUUGAAAAUGAAUAGAAAAAACAUAACAUUUACCAAUUAAUAUACUAUUAAAUAUUUAACAUUUGAAGUGGCUGUAACCGAGUGACUUAAUAAAAGAAAACUUCAAUGUAUCUGAUACUAUAAAAUAGGUCAACACAAUUUAAGAGCACUGAAGUUUUCAAUUUGAAAAAAAUAUUUCGUCUCGUUGACUCAAAUACUACUUCAUUAAUUGCUUAGCUUUACAGUUCAAAUUAUAAAUUAAAAUAAGGUUUGAUUUCUAUCAAUACAUUCUAGAAACCCAACAACAUUCAAAAGGUAACAAUUUUAUGGAAAUCGAUUUCAACUCCAGAAUUAUGACGGUGCGAAGAUUAUGUUAUACAUAAUGACAAGAAAGUUUCGCUUACUUUACCACAGUAUCGCCUAACCUCCAUAUUCGUUUAGUAAAAAUGUUCUACCCUAUCUUUGGCUAAACGAAACGAUAAUAAGUAGGUACCUCUGAUAAAUAAUCGAUUCACUCUGAACGUGGAUAUUGUUUUAUAUUACUAUAAACACAUGCCCAUGUAGUUUAAUAGCAUUUGUAAAUAUAAUUUUCAGUAGUCAUUAAAAUAUUAAAGUAACUUUUUUGCAAAUGUUUAUAAUUCUUUUUUUUUUAAGUUUUUCAAUGUAUUUUAUAGUACAUAACGAAACCUAGAUUCCUAUGAUUUGAAAAGUAGGUAUACAUUUUAGACAAAAGCAUUCUAAGAAUUAGGUAAAAAAUUGUUGAAAACAUGAAUAACUUUUUAACUAAGUGGUUAGCAAGCUCUGUAUUCGAAAUACUUUUGAAAAGAUGUUUCUACCCUUCGUUAUCAAUUUUUUUUAAUCACAUCGGUAAAUAACAUAUAUUUGACACUUCGAAAUAACAUAUACAAAUCUAUAUAUUCAACCUAUAAACCAAGACCAUAAUCGUACGUACGACAUACAUUUUCGCUGAAUUUAGUUUAAACUCUCGUGAUUUCUAAUAAGAUGGUUUUUUUAUUUAACUUUUGUAAUAAAAUAUUAUAAAAAUAACCAACAAGAUGAAGAAAAGUUAUAUUUAUAAGUCAUGUUUCUGCAUAUUAUGUUUGGAUAAUUAGAUGUAUGAAUUAGUUUUGAUGAUAAUAAAUGCUCUUAAAUUAUGAUAAUGGAAAACAAUAUCAUCAUUUGCACACUUUUAUCGUACAGUAUUUUAUAGUAACUCCCACUGUUUUAUCUUUGGAUAUAAUCUUUCGAUAGAGGUAUAGCAUUAACGGAUCUAAUUCCAUCAGUAUCAUGUUUGUUUUAACAAAACAGUUAACUAAAAGGUAAUAACGGAAGUUUACACAGGUAUCGAAUGCCAGUUAAACUUGGAAACAUACAUCUGUGUAGCUUUUUUUUUAAGUUGUUCGAUGUAUGUUUUUUCUUAACAACAACAACAUUAACAGACAUGACCUAUGCCAGUAAUAUAAAACUUGAGUGUCAUUAAAAAAAUAUAAACGUUCAUAUUGCGCUAAAUUCAACCAAUAAUAAAACUUAGUAUUUAAAUAAUGCAGAGACAAUCAAUUAAUGCUUCUAAAAUUGAGGCGAUAUUAUUUGUAUUUAGUAUUUCAACGAAAAGUUUCCAAGCAAACACUCAUAUUUUUUAAGUUUGAACGACAGAACUGUAAAACAAACUCUGCGAUACCGUUGGUAGUUGACUUUUAAAUGCGAUAAAUACACUGGACUGCCUUUUAUUUAUUUCUUUUAAAGUGUCUUCUAAAGUUUUUUGAAAUUCCUACCUUAGAAAAGUUGAAUAAAUUAACAAACGUCAAAGUACAAUAGUUUGCACAUUACUAUAAUACAUUUUAGGCAA